rnacentral:SRP_RNA from 1 species
CCGUGCUAGACGGGGAGUUAGCGGUGCCCUGUAACCCGCAAUCCGCUAUAGCGGGGUUGAGGCUUAUUUGAGGCCGGUUCUCUUUAGGGUCUGGCCAUCGCGAGCGGCGUGGAAGGUUUGGUCCUGCGCAAUGAGAACUC